UCAACAUUCAAAACUGACCAAGGAACCCCACUAGCUAGACAUGUGUAGUGAUUACCAGCAAACCUCAGGCCAGGCUCACUCAGGACUGGCUACCCCCAGGAAGGAGGGGUGGCAUGCCAGUAAGGAACCUGGCCUCAGCAGCAAGUUGUUUUUUUCUGCAAGUAUCGUGUAUUUCUUCUCCAACCAAUUUUGUUCCCCUUGGUUCCUGGGAACCAUUAUAUCGUUAGGUUAAUGGACCAUUGGUUUAUCCACCUGUAUGUUGCCUGAAUUUUGGCCAUUCAACCAUGCAUUCCUGGUGAUUGGGUUUACAAGUACUAGUUUCCUAAGUCCAACAUCAUGUUCAGAUAUCUCGUGACGAUAAAUUGGUGUAGUAACCAUGGUAUGUCAGCAAAGAGAUGGCCCCACUCAUUAAAAAUAUGUUGGUAUUGGAGGCUUCAAAAACUUGUAUAUUUGUUACUGAUAUAUAGAACAAAUAAAUGGCCAAAUACAAAAUUGUGCAGAACCCAGAUUAUCUAGUAUCUAAUAAAGAAUUAAUAAAGAAUAUGUAUUAAUGUAGAUGUCUUUAUUUACAUAUUAAUGGCUUUUUUCAAAUUGGCCAAAUUUUUCAAAACAAUUACAUAUUAAAAAUUGAGAUACAUGGAAAUUCUAACAAUAGAUUUAUAGUCAUUCUUGGGGUGGGCAUUAACACUUUUUGGUAACUUCUGUAAGUUAAUUAUAGUUUAACUUCCUAAUUAAUUAAUUCUGUAUGUUAAUUUAUAGUUUAACUUCCUAGACGCUUUGGUGUCUUUUUUUACCCUCACUUUAAAAUACACACAAUAGUUUAAAUAUAUCACAUUUGGUCAAAAGUUCAAAUUAUUUUAUUAUUUAAAGCAUGUAGAAAAAAUAUAAUAGUUAAAAUUCCUGUGAAAAAUUCUAAUACAGAGGAAUCACAUGGCUAUGUUUGGAAAGAUAAUAUUUCUUUAAAAAUGUGUUGUUUUUUAUGUUUUAUGUUUGCGAUAAGCAUUACUGAAGUUUGAUUGAAGAACUUCAUGAUUUUUAUGUUUUACUUUCUUGUAUUGAGAAAUAGUGGUCCAUUGUUGGGCUGUAUUUAAAAUUAAUGUGUAUAAAACAAGAAAUAUUUAAUUAGAGUUAUUAAUUUUCCACAUUUAAUAUGUGUAUUUGACCUAAAUCAGUAUCUUCUAUCAUAUCAGCCUCACAUAUAACAAGAAUAAUCGCAAGGACAACAACAAAUUUGAAUGUUUCCUUUGUGCCUAUGCUCCUAUCAUGUUAUAUUCAUUCUUAUAAAUCUAACAACUAACAAUUAAUUUGAAGUUAGACACACAGGAUUUACUCAUCAGUAUUAGAGCAUUCACUGCUAGCCAAGAAGGUUACUAUCCCUGGUGCUGAAACUGCUCUGUGUAGUCCUUGUGGUUGAAGAAUUAAAACAGUUUCUCUUAGACAUUUCCUUUCAUUGAAAUUAUGAAUUGGAUAAAUGUUCAUACCUUAAAGGAAGUAUUAAAUUUCACAUAUGUUAACAUCUUAAUUAAUGUAAGAUUAAUAUUCUACUUAUGACUAUGUUUUAGUAUUGAAAAAUGAGUUUCUGAUGAGUUUCAUUAGUUUCUAGAGAAAACAAUGGUUUAAAAAAUUUCAGUACAUAAGACAUUGAGGAGUCUAUGAAUGUUCCAGAAAUCUGAAAACAUAUACCACUAAUCAAAGUUUCUCCAUUCAUGUUGACUAGCAUUUGCCUUAGGUGUCAGAAUUAAUGGAUUUGUGUUAAAAAUAAACACCUGAAAUCUAAUUCCCUAGCUGCAUUAUAACACACUAGAUUACAAGUACUAAGCUUUUAUUUAAUGCUUAUAACGGCUUUAAAUUGUAGCAAAAUGGGCUUCCCCCAAGAGGACUGCUUUGUUGAUCCUAAGAUGGGGUCAUAAGCCAGAAGUUAACUAUGCUUUCAUAUAUUCUUGUAAGUAGAAGUACAGUGUUGGUGUAAAUUCUCCUUAGAUGGAUAGGUAAGCCCAGAGGAAAUAAUGGUCAUUGGCACCAUAUGACCGUAUGCAAUUCAUAUGCAUAUUUAUAUCAAGAAAAGAACAUUAUAGGUCUGGUGAGACCCUAUUUUUUUCUGACAGUGUCAUCUGUAUUUACGUGUCUAUUUCGGGAAUUUGGAAGUCAAGGGAUUCUAUGCUGGAUUGUGAAGCAUCUGUUUCUGCUUGAUGUAGCUACUCAAUUUUGUAUUCUUGACUAAUAAAGUCAUAAACAUAAUGCAA
rnacentral:lncRNA from 10 species